rnacentral:rRNA from 1 species
AUGCACGCUGGCGGCGUGCCUAAUACAUGCCAGUCGAGCGAACAGACGAGGAGCUUGCUCCUCUGACGUUAGCGGCGGACGGGUGAGUAACACGUGGAUAACCUACCUAUAAGACUGGGAUAACUUCGGGAAACCGGAGCUAAUACCGGAUAAUAUAUUGAACCGCAUGGUUCAAUAGUGAAAGACGGUUUUGCUGUCACUUAUAGAUGGAUCCGCGCCGCAUUAGCUAGUUGGUAAGGUAACGGCUUACCAAGGCAACGAUGCGUAGCCGACCUGAGAGGGGGAUCCGCCACACUGGAGCUGAGACACGGUCCAGACUCCUACGGGCGGCAGCGGUAGGGAAGCGUGCGAGAUGGGCGAAAGCCUGAAGGAGCAACGCCGCGUGAGUGAUGAAGGUCUUCGGAUCGUAAAACUCUGUUAUUGGGGAAGAACAAAUGUGUAAGUAACUAUGCACGUCUUGACGGUACCUAAUCAGAAAGCCACGGCUAACUACGUG